UACGUAGGGGGCAAGCGUUGUUCGGAAUUACUGGGCGUAAAGCGCGCGUAGGUGGACGGUCAAGUCCGGCUUGAAAGCCCCCGGCUCAACCGGGGAGUGUGGCUGGAAACUGGCGGUCUUGAGGGCGAGAGAGGAGGGUGGAAUUCCUGGUGUAGCGGUGAAAUGCGUAGAGAUCAGGAGGAACACCCGAGGCGAAGGCGGCCCUCUGGCUCGACCCUGACGCUGAGGCGCGAAAGCGUGGGGAGCGAACGGGAUUAGAACCGGU
rnacentral:rRNA from 1 species